rnacentral:rRNA from 1 species
AUUGAACGCUGGCGGCAUGCCUUACACAUGCAAGUCGAACGGUAACAGGUUAAGCUGACGAGUGGCGAACGGGUGAGUAAUGUAUCGGAACGUGCCCAGUCGUGGGGGAUAACUGCUCGAAAGAGCAGCUAAUACCGCAUACGACCUGAGGGUGAAAGCGGGGGAUCGCAAGACCUCGCGCGAUUGGAGCGGCCGAUAUCAGAUUAGGUAGUUGGUGGGGUAAAGGCCUACCAAGCCUACGAUCUGUAGCUGGUCUGAGAGGACGACCAGCCACACUGGGACUGGGACCCGGCCCAGACUCCUACGGGAGGCAGCAGUGGGGAAUUUUGGACAAUGGACGCAAGUCUGAUCCAGCCAUGCCGCGUGCGGGAAGAAGGCCUUCGGGUUGUAAACCGCUUUUGUCAGGGAAGAAAAGGUUCUGGUUAAUACCUGGGACUCAUGACGGUACCUGAAGAAUAAGCACCGGCUAACUACGUGCCAGCCGCCGCAGUAACAC